rnacentral:lncRNA from 1 species
AUUCAUGUGCCAACUUUAUACCCGCUGGCAGGGCCAUGUUUCGUGUGGAUGCUAGCUCCGGAUGUCGACCUUCCCGAAGAGAUUCAUUCAUAGCCAUCUGAGAGCCUUUGAAAUCAUUAUAUCUUUUUCUUAAAGCAUACAUAUACAUAGACGAAAAAAUAAUAAAAUUCAUGCUUCAUAAUCAUGCUAUUUUCAAAAGACAU